ACCUGUAAGGGAGAUCAGGUACCUUAGGGAACCUCCAGUCAGUUAGAAUACCCCCUGCCGGGUCCUUUCCAGGAUACCCACCUCCCCUCAAUCUCUUGUCACACACCUUCACACUACUGCAUCCAACUACCUAGCAAAAAGCCCACUUGUCUCCUUAGCCCCUUGCACCUUGUAAGCUGACAUCCAGGUUCUUCAAUCCACUUUGGGCAGGCAAACCAAAGCCUUCACCUACAUCACCUAGAACACUGGCUGAUCUCCAAGCACAGGGAAGCACCUCUCUCACCAUCAUGUUUAAGACAUCAGGCAGGUCACUCAACCUGACACAGGACACUUGAUCCGGCCUGUUCCAUCUCAGCUUUGCUUAUUCCUGGAACACACUCUCAAUCUCAAAGACUCCCGUGUGACGCCAAGUUCAUCACAAAGAUUCCAAGAUGUUCCCAAACUGGAGUGAGUUAACCUAGACUCAAAUCCUUUUUCGCUUAGUAGGUGUCUUUGAGAAAGUCACAAAUCUCUCCCUACCUUCUCUGAAAAGCCUGUUAACAAACCGUAUGCAAGUACAGCAAUCAGGAAGCCUAGGUUAUGCCAGAAUUGAAUUCAAGCCCCAGGUGACUUCAUCCCAAUCUCAUUCAACUCCACAAUAGCAGUAAGGCAGGUAAUGUUGUGUCCACUUUAGUUAUGACAACUGAGACUACGGGAUGAGCUCAAAUUUCCAAAACCCAAGUUUUAAAACAAUGGAUAAUCGAAUUCCAGGGACCAGGUCUAGCCACUGGCUGUCCACAGGCGCUCAGUCUGUUCAUUCACAGCCCUCAGCAUCCAACUGCUGCCUGGUACUCACCAACCACAGCUCUGUUGGCUGAGGAGAUAACCUUCUUGGAGCCAGAAGGCAGCUUCACACGGGUCUUCUUGGUCUCAGGGUUGUGGGAGAUAACGGUGGCAUAGUUCCCAGAUGCCCGGGCCAGCUUGCCACGGUCUCCAGGCUUCUCCUCUAGGCA